rnacentral:tRNA from 2 species
AAAAUCCGUCGACUUUAGAAAUCGUGAGGGUUCAAGUCCCUCUAUCCCCCCAAAAAGACCGAUUUGACUAUUUCUCCUACCCUCUCUUUUUUUUAGUGGUUCAAAAUUCGUUCUCUUUCUCAUUCAUUCUACCUUUUUACAAACGUAUCAGAGCAGAAUUUUUUUUUUAUCACAAUCACAAGUGGUGUGGUAUAUAUGAUAUACGUACAAAUGAACAUCUUUGAACAAAGAAUCCCGAUUCACAAUUCAUAUCAUUGCUCAUACUGAAACUUAUAAAUUAUUCUAUUCAAGAAAUCGAAUUCCACGCUCAAGACUUUUAAUACUUUUUUAAUUGACAUAGACCCCAGUCAUCUAGUAAAAUGAGGAUGAUGCGCCGGUAAUGGUCGGGAUAGCUCAGCUGGUAGAGCAGAGGACUGAAAAUCCUCGUGUCAC